UCUUCGUUUGAUUUGUCAUCUCCUUCUUCCUUCCGAUGCGAGCAGCGGCGGCCGAGGCUCGAAAAAAAAAAUCCCCAAUCCUAAAGGCAAGCCCAUCUCCCUCUAGCUUGCCAAUGAUGACGGGGGUGUAGAUCCUGUACCUAGAUCGGCGACCUUGGCCACUGUAGGCACCGUUCCAUCUCCGCCCCAACGAAUCCAGGUCGUCUCGUUGGCGGCGGUCGCCGGUCGGGCUGCCCGGGCGGACCUCUUCUGUGCUGCGCUGCGACGUUGGGCGAGCAAAUCUCCAGGUAUCGUUCUCCGACGUCUAGAGGACAACCUCGACCUACCAUUGUCUUACCCCAUCCAGUCAUUGUCCACAUGUGGCUUCUCGAUCUACUAUUUUUCUUGCCCCAUCCAGCCAUUCUCCACAGGUAGCCCGCCUACCCCCAUGCCUAGCUCGGACAUCUGCUGAUGGCAAAGAACAGACCUCGGGUCUUCAGGAAUGCAGGACCUCUGGAGACCCCUGGCACAUGUGAUCGAAUGUAGAUGAAAAGAGCGUAAAAACUAAUAGAAUGGAGUACCAUUUCUGGGAAUAAAUGAUCAUUCAAUGGGUCAGAUCGUUUGAUGUAUUGCUGUUGUUGUACAAAAGAAAUAUGUUGCCGAUCCAUUGCGAGAAGAUUAACAGGUGAGUGAGCAGAGGGACAAGAAGGUGCCGUCGUGGUCGGGCAUCGUUUUGUUUUAGUGAAACAAUUUUGUUAGCUCUUUGCUCUUUCCUCAUUUGGUUGUAAUAACACUGAUUGUAAAAUAAAGGCAAAAUUUUUACAUUUUUGUAUGCAAAAAAUAAGCUCUCCCCUGUAUGGCAGAAUUUAUACCUGACCAAAUUGUUAUUGCAAGUUUAGUGAUGAUAUUAAGUGAAGUGUACAAAUGACUAUGCAGCGUACAGUUCUCUUCCUGCUAGUCAAAUGAUAUUAUUAAUGCAUACUCAUUAGAUUAGCUCAGGAGCAAAUAUUUUUAAGUACGGAUGUGAUAUACAUACAUGGUCUCUUGUGCUCAAACUGAUUCCUAUAUGUUUGGUGUCAUCUUUCCAGCACAUAAACCUUGAUGAGCAAGAAGCACGAGCACUGGAGGCAAGGGCUACAACUUUUCUGUUCUCUGCAUUCAAGAUAGCACAACACUAGAAAUGUCCAUGCCAUGUUAUGUAUUGCAUGUCUCUUGUGUAUCUUCUGCUGCUCCAGAUUGAUAAUGUACUCGACAUUAGUGAGUGAGAUGGUCCAGACUCUAGAGUGACAUGUACUCAAAUAUUUGUGCCUGAGAUGGUUUCACAUGUACUCAGAUCUUUAUGCCUGGGAUGGUCUAACUAGACGUGUGCUCAACUAUUUA